ACCAAUGUGAUAAAUUCUUAUUCUUCUUUUCCUACAACAUUGCUGUUAUUUGUUGUAAAAAUUUUUAUCAUAGCUGUUGCCUGAGAUAAUUAAUAACUCUAGCACACAUAUAACAUUUUAUUUCUGAUUGUUCCCGUGUUUAUAUCAGAAACAUUGUCAUUCUUUAAUAGUAUAUAUACAUGCAGUGCAAUAAAAAAACCACACUAACAUUUUUUCUUGAUUUUAAGUAUAUAUAUUAUCAAGUAAAACAAAAAAAUGGGAUGCAGCAGUGAAAAAUCUAGGACAGAAAAGGUGACACUUCAGGAAUUCCAGUCAAGUACUAGUGGCAUACUUAGAGAGUUUUGUAAUUGUUUUAUCCAACACUUUUGUCACCUUGUUAAGUGGUAUAGUAGUAAAGAGAAAUGACUAGAAGAGGUAAAAAGAAAAUAUCUGCAAUCUUGAGGCAUUAAAGGGCUUCUUGGGCUAAAUGAUGGUACAAUAGUACCUAUUAAAGGAGUAACUGGAGCUGAUGAGUCAGCUUAUAUUUGAAGAAAACGAUAUCCUUCUUUGAAUUGUCAAGUUGUUGAUCCAGAUCGCAAUUUUAGAGAUGCUGUGAUAAAGUAUCCUGGUUCAUGCCAUGAUGCAUUUAUUUUUUCAAGUUCUAUUCUGAAACAGAUAUUAGAAUUAGAUCCAGCGCAGAUUUUCUUUUUGGUGACUCUGGAUAUGGCUUGUCACCAGUCUUGAUAACUCCAUUUAGUGUGCCAAUAUCACCAGGAGAAGAAUAUUUUAAUCAUGUUCAUCGGCUGGCACGUAGUGAAGUAGGACGGUGUAUUGGCCGUCUUAAAAACCAUUGGAGGUGCUUACACAAAAUUGGUGGAGCACAACAGUACACCCCAACAAUGUGCUGCUAUAUAACUUUUACCUGUGCUAUACUGGAAAAUAUAUGUAAUUCCAUAAGCUUAGUGGAUCUAGUUGAUUUUGAGCUUAAUAACAAUGACAAUGAUAGUAAUGCUCGAUCUGAAACAAGAGUAACUAAUCGAACUCGACUUGGUAUGGAAAGAAUAGUUCAAAUAAAAAAUGAUUUGUCUGCUAUUCAAAGACUUUGACAUAUUUUAUAAAUUUUCAUUUAUUUUAGUUGUAAAAGGAUUCUACUAUUAUUAUAUUGUAUAUC